rnacentral:misc_RNA from 1 species
GGAUGGAUCAUUAACAAAGAUCUUCCUACACGUACUCUGUGAACUGUCUUGAACUUUGUGUGUGUGAGCGGUGCUUAAUAACCACUGCUCGCACCACAAUUAUAUUACGUAACCCCCUACUAAAGUCAAGUUGCUUAGAACUUAAACAACUUUUAGCAAUGGAUCUCUUGGCUCUCGCAACGAUGAAGAACGCAGCGAAUCGCGAUAAGUAGUGUGACUUGCAGAUACCGUGAAUCAUCAAAUCUUUGAACGCACAUUGCACUGACUGGAAUUCCGGUCAGUAUGCCUGUUUGAGUAUCAGUAAACACUCUCCUCUUACCACCUUACUAGUGGCAACUGUGAGGACUUGGGUCUCUGUCCUGUGAAAGGGCGCGACUUUAAAUGAAUCUGCUAGUGCGGGUCUUUGACGCUACUACUGGCUGACAGGGUUAAUGGCCUCUGGCUGUCACUGUCUUGUUGGUAGGACGCGCUCUCAUUGGCUCCCGAGCAUUAUAACCACUCUACUUUACUGUGACCUUGAUCUCAAAUCAGGCAAGAUCACCCGCUGAACUUAAGCAUAUUAAUAAGCGGAGGAAAAGAAACUAACAAGGAUUCCCUCAGUAAUGGCGAAUGAAGCGGGAACAGCUCAAAUUUAAAAUCUCUUAGGAGAAUUGUAGUUUAAAGAAGUGCUUUCGUUGGUAGCCUGGGUAAAAGUCCCUUGGAACAGGGCAUCAAAGAGGGUGAGAAUCCCGUAUUUGAUCCAGUCACUGCCACACUGUGAUGCAUCUUCAAAGAGUCGGGUUGUUUGGGAUUGCAACUCAAAGUGGGUGGUAUAUUCCAUCUAAAGCUAAAUACAGGCGAGAGACCGAUAGCGAACAAGUACCGUGAGGGAAAGAUGAAAAGAACUUUGAAAAGAGAGUUAAACAGUACGUGAAAUUGCUAAAAGGGAAACGUUUGAAAUCAGUGUUGGUUGCCUCAAAUCAGCUAGUCAGCAAUGGCUGGUGCACUUUGGAGUAACCAGGUCAACAUCAGUUCUGGUUGGGGUAAAUUAGAGUAGGAAGGUGACUCCUCCGGGAGUGUUAUAGCCUACUUGACUGCCUCGGCUGGGACUGAGGAAUGCAGCUUCGGCUCAGGAUGUUGACGAAAUGGUUUUAAAUGACCCGUCUUGAAACACGGACCAAGGAGUCUAACACAUAUGCAAGUGUUUGGGUGGCAAGCCCAUACGCGAAAUGAAAGUAAACGUAGGUGCGAUCCCUUACGGGUGCAGCAUCGACCGGUCUUGACUUUCUAUGAUAGAUCUGAGUAAGAGCAUAUUUGCUAGGACCCGAAAGAUGGUGAACUAUGCCUGAAUAGGGUGAAGUCAGAGGAAACUCUGAUGGAAGCUCGCAGCGGUUCUGACGUGCAAAUCGAUCGUCAAAUUUGGGCAUAGGGGCGAAAGACUAAUCGAACUAUCUAAUGGCUGGUUCCCUC